rnacentral:lncRNA from 1 species
GGCCGUAUAGCGUUCUACUGUUUGACAGAGUUGAGAAGGCUGAUGCUUCUGUUUUUAGCACUCUGCUCAGGGUUUUAGACACAGGCAUGUUGUCUUGCAGCGACGGAUUUAUGAUUGACUUUAGAAACACUACAAUUGUUCUGAUAUCAGAUCUGGGGAAUAAAGAUAUCAUUUCUAGCCUUUUUGGCUACUGUUACCAAGGUAGCGGUAAUGAUGAGGGCACCCAACAGGUAAAUUAGUAGGAACAGAACCACAGAAGUAUGUUUUUUUGUGGCAUUGAUAUGUCAAUAACGUAGUGUGUUCUUCUUCUCAGCAGGAAGAUAAUCGCUUUAGGUUUGAGUUGCUUAAUCGCGUGGAUGAAGUUAUUUUUUUCAAUCCUGCCUCGCAAAACCAGAGGGACAUAGCUAGGCUUCCUAUGACGGAUGAGCAAAACAAGGGUUUGCCAAUGACAGCUUUCUUUCAUCUGUUCCAAACCAGUCAUAAUCCAGUAAGUUUCCGUUUCAUUUCUUUUUCCACAAAAAUGAUUAGUUUUUAAUUUGUUUUUGUCAAGAGUAAAGUUCGAGCAUUCUAAUACUUGAACCUGUUUUUUUUUUUUUUACAUUAAAAAGAACUUCAGUAAAACGGUGAGAGAAGUACAUAUGAGUUCGUAGAAGAAUAUUACAGCCCCAAUAAGCAACGUACAAAAUAAACAAUCUACAAUUUACCUAGCAUUCAAUUUAAGGACAUGCUUGAAUCAGUUUGUCUUGUUACUGCUUCAUAUAUUUCUACCUUAUUUAUGAAUUCUAUUGUUUAUUUUGGUGCAGAGACUUUACAAGCUUGGGAAAUUCAUGCAUUUGAUGCAGUGGUGUCUAAAAUUUCCAUGGGGCUCGGGGUGUUUUGGAUAAAAGUUUGUGGCCAUAAAACGGUCUAGUACCUUUUUUACAGGGAAACAGUCUAAUACCUCCUUAGAGGGUGUCAAGUUAUUUUGGUCCUUGGGCUGUCUUAAUGCGAAGCUUAUGAUGGGUCUCUAAGAUACUGUCUUUCUUGUUUACCUUUGCUUCUAUAAAUGCCUUAAGCAGCAUUGUAAGUUUUAACCAUGGGUAAAAACUCUUUCCUUUGUAUGCACCCCUCUGUUAUGUGCACUGACGACCUCUCUUCAGGUUUCUUUCAAACCUCGUGCACUUUCAAGCCAGAAAUUUUGAAUCAAAAUGAAGUUAGGGUUUUGAGAAAUAAGGAUACCAGCCAAGUUGGUUUCCGAGUAACUAUUAGCCCCUUCCUUAUAACCUAGAUUUAGCUAAAUGUGUUUCAAUUGUGGUUUUUACUGGUUGGUGACAAUGCGUAAUAUUUGUUAACAUUCUUGCUCACUCUUGAAGGCAAACUCGAAAACUAUUUUCUUUUGAGAGACAAUAAAUGUCUAGCAUAACCGACAAUGUAGUAUAACCAGUUUUUUUAGGAUGUGAUCAUCUUCAUUAAGCCAAUGAGACUUUGUUUGAGUUGAUCGGGUAUUCUCGCAAGUUUUGCGCUUCUCAAGAAUACAACAGUAGUAUAGAUGCUCUUCCUGUCCAAUUUGUUUAUGGCCUCGAAUUCAAAAACUAUUAAUUUUAAUAGUUGCUAGGUUCCCGAAUUUAAAAAAAAUAAAUGGUUCGAAUUCACUUUAGCAAUUCAGGCCACAUAACAUCUAUUUUUAAAUUUGUAGAACAUUUCUUGGUUCCAAUUCUAUACUUCAAACCUUUUCAAGUGACCACCAUGGCUGACCACAAUCUUCAUCUCUCUCAGUUUUAUUCAUAGUGCCAUUGAUAAAACUCUGGUCAAAGAAUCGAAACAAAAGGUCGGUCUCCAGGGUCUUACGGGAGAGGAAAGCCACCAAGCAUGCCAUAACCCACCUGUGGGUAUGUUCCAAUAUCAAAUCGUAACCCUCACCACCGGUACACCACCGGUGCCUCCUCGGGUCUCCCCCAAACCCUUUGCCCGAGCUUAUAUAGAGUCCCACAAGCAAUGAAUUCAUAAGAGAUCACUAGGUUUUUUUUUAGACACGAUCUCUAAUUUACCUGAAGCAAGAUAUUCUAAAAAAAAAAAAAUUCAAAAUUACAUGCACAUUGUCGUCGUGGACCAAAGGGGGAUUUCAUUUUUUUUUUACAAGAAACAUUUGAAGACCAGUUCCAAUGAACGUGUAAUAUUGGUUAAGAGCAUUCCUACUGUUUAUCGUAUGAUACAGAUUCCAUAAAACAAAGAAUUAACAGUUUAUACAAACGAUUGAAUAUCGAUUAGAAGGGCUUGAAUGAAUGGUUCACAAAAAAUCAAUGAUUUGAUCUGAAAUUGACAACAUUUUGAUCUGAAAUUGCAACAUGUUUUGAUUAAAGAGAGAACAAUGGUAGUGGGUACCAGUGGUAUGGUAGGUGGUGAUCUGGGUUUGCUGCCGCAAAAGAGAGAUUGAAGAUAGACUGUGAAGGUUGAGUAGUAAGAGAGAGAUAUUUGGGUUAAUAAAUAUAGGAAAGUUGAUUUAAGAGAGAGCAUAGAGAUUGAGGUCAGUGAUUGUGAAGGUGUAGCAAGAGAGAAACACAGAAUUUUCGGAGAAAAUGUGGGGAUGAAAAAGUCUUUCAUUGUCACCAUGAAAACUACUCGUGCCAUUAGCACUUAUCGCCCUCAUUAAAAAUAUGGAAAAACAAAAUUGGACAAGGUAACGUACAAACGAGCAUCACCCACAAGUCACAACUACAUGAAACUAUCCAUUUGAGUCUUUGACUCACGGAUGAUUAAACUAAUGAUGAGGUUGUCGGAUUUUCAAAAGGCCCACCGAAUAAAAGGCAAAAUUCAUGAUCUCUCUCAGUGUGCGUGCGCGUGCGCACCCCGCAUCAGCACAAGUAGUAGCCAAUCCAUUAGACAAGAACCACAUUAUUGUGGAUGACUUCACGCUUAACGUUUGGGACAUGGGGACCCCAGGAGAUUUCUAACAGAGAGUCGAUUUUGAAAUUACACUGCGCUUGUUUUGCUCUUUAAAUUUAGUACAAGACCCCCCUUCGUAAAUUGCUGAUUAAUUCUUCUGAUUCAAUUUGAUGAUAUUAUGAAAUAUAACCUGUUGAAUGCCAGUUCUCCAUUACAGGAGUCAUUUAGAUAUGAAGAAAAAGUCUGCCGAUAAAAAAAGGGAAAAAGAGAUGAAAAAAAAGUAUAGUUUCUCCUUAAUACAAGUCAAGUGAGAACUAUAGCGAUUAUCAAAAGCGGAGAGCUCUAUUUGGAUGGAUGAUCCCUUGUCGACCAUCAUAUACCCCCCACCUCCCCCUCCACACCCACACCCUACAUCCGCCCAUCAUCAUUGUCUUCAUACCACCAAUCAUCGUCUUCAUAACCAUCAUGAACCGAUUCACCUAAAAAAUGUAAUAAAGAACAAGAUCACACAACUAUAAAGCAUAUUUAAGGCUCCAUUUAGUUUCGAAAAAGAGAUUUGACAGUAUACUUUAAUGAUAGUGACAUAAAUUUGGAUUGAUACAUAAUAUAUAGGCAGGGGCGGAGAGCCAGGAGGGAUAAAGUGUGAAAUAUAUAUAUUAGCUAUAAUAUAUAUAUAUAUAUAUAUUUUAGGGCAAAGUUUUGUAAAAAAAAUAUUAUGAACUAGCCGAAUUUUUUUAUGGUUUUUUAUGAAUGACAAAGAUAACAUUGGAUUAUGAGGUAUUGGAAUAAUGGAGGAUAUCUGGGUGUAAUUUGCUACGUAUGGCAAAUAUACCAAACCAAACCAAAAGUUUUGUUGUCCUAAUCCUAAUAUCCAGGGGGUAUCAGGUUCCAAUCGUUUUUCUCAGAUAUACUAAAUAAGUCAUAUCAAUUUUUUUUACCUAUAGCCCCUAUGACCUACACCUAUGUUUAAUUAGGUAUUCCUAAUGUGGUAUCCUUUAUUUUCUUAUAGUGAUCCAAUCCGCUUUAUUAUCGUGGAAUUCUAUUGGCCAUGUUGACAAUGACCAAAGUCGAUUCUCUUUCAACUUCCAAUGGGGCUACUCCUAACCAGUUCAUGGAUGCAUUCAUUUCUAUUUCAAUCCUCGUCUCAUCACACAUCCAACUUAGUAUCAUUGUUUCAGCUACACUCGUUUUAUUUGUGUUAUUUCUUAUUUACUCGCAUUGUUUCCAGUGAAGCAUCUUGCAAUUCUUCUAUAUAUGGUUUCCUCCAAUUUCGUUGGUACCUGUCGAUUGCUCAAUAUGCAAGAAGUACCUCUCCAAUUGAACAAACUUUGGUUCUGUGUGGUGCACCCCGUCCAAUUUCUACAUCCUCAUUAAUUGUCAAACCUAGAUAGAGACAUUGUUCUCUUUGAUAUCUUCUUGUCUUCAAUGUUCACUUCUUUGCUUUUUCUACAUCUAUUGUUACGAAACCACAUUCCACAUUUCAACUUUUGCUCUAAUUAUUUUAAACCUUUUGACUAAUCGUUUCUCCCUAAUGAAGGCAAUUGGUGAUGUAGGCAAUCUGUUGUCCAUCUAGGAAUUCGUGAUAGGUGCUAAGACGAUGUGAACCGCAAGAGGUGGAACGAUGAGAGAGAGAGAGAGAGAGAGAGAGAGAAUGGGCACUUUCAUAAUGGGUAACAUAGGGGAGUAAACAUGGCUAACCUAGAGGAUAUUCACAAUAUGACCAUAAACUUUCCUUCCAUGAACGAGGAGUUUGAUGUUUUAUCUACGAAGGAAGUUUAUCUAAUAAUGAUCAUCGUGUUUGAAAGAAUGGAAGUGGGUAUAUUAAACAAGGUGCGGUAAUAGCUUUUUAAGGUGAGGAAGAGAAACUUAAACAACGAGAAAGAUAAAUAUGAAAAAAAAAAACAAAAAAAAAAACCUAAGCAUCAAGUUGAAACAUUUGAAAUUAGAAGAAAAUUGGGUUUAUUGAUGGGAAGACUCAAGAAUGAGUCUUAUUCAAAACUAGAUUCUUCAUGGGAUGUAAGCAAAUGAAAUCCGCACGCUUAAAGUUGAAGGAUUGAGAAAGGAGAAAGAGAGCUUGGGUUAAAUUUCAUGGAAAUAUUGUUACAACGAAUGUGUAUCACAAGAAUAAAGGAAGUCAAACUCCAUGUUAGAAAAAGGUUAAAAGAAGAAGACUUAUCAAAAGGAAAGGCUUAAACGAAUCUUUCUAAGCCAAACACAUAACCUAGUGCCGUUAGAGAUUCCAAAUGAUUGGUGUAAGGAAAAACUUGUUAUUACACCAUUAAAGGACCACAUGCAAAAUCAAUGUAUAUAUACCGCAAUCGUUGCGUCCCAACAGGAAAUAUGUCUCGAACCACCUCAAGUUUUUGCUAGGGUCUCAAAAUGCAACAAACAAAAACAUUGAGAAUGCAAGUUAAAUGCUCAGGACCCAUGUGGAUGUGAAAACUGCCAACUCUUCACAAGGGCCUUUUUCUUUAAGAGGAGAAAUACUAAUAUAGGGGUCUUGUAUGAAUUGGAGGUGAAUUCCAAAAUUCUAUGGCCAACAUAGCAACUUGGGAGUUAGGAUAAAAGGGCUUUAUUGUAUUAACUUAAGACAAAUUAUCAAUGUUAAAUUGUAAGCUCAUUUCACGCGUGUUGAGAAUUUAAGUCAAAUCAUAAGAAGUAUGAGCAACCUAAUAAAGGUUGAAAGUUGGUUGUGCCUGUCAAAAGCUGCUAAAUGUGUAGACAGGCGUACAAUUUAUUUCAUUUUACUUAUCUGGAGUGACGGAGAGUAACGAGGAAGAGUUAGAUUGCUGCUUCUGCUGCCAUAUUUUUUUUUUAAUUUAGAAUGUUUUAUAUUAUAUUCCUUUUAAAUGGCAUAAAUUAUAAUUACACUCCUCUAAAAACUUACAAUGAUUGGGUGGUUAACACUUUUACGUGAUAAAUUAAUGUUGGGCAGCAUAUGUCUAUUAUCCUUCAGGAAAGGGUGGACAUAUAGAGGUAGACUCUUUUGAGCAAAAUAUAUCUUUCUUAAAUAUUAGUUUGGCUGAUACGUAUCUCGUUAUCUCUAUAAAAAGUUUCUAUUGCUUGUCUUUGUAAUUUAUCUAAAACUCCUUGAGAUCCAACUAACAGACAUUGCUAUUGGCUUACAGCUGUGGAGUGGAUUUACUUCUGCUUUGCUAUCCUUUGAAUUGAUACUAAUUAUUAGUGUGCUUAUGCUUAAGCAAUUUACUUUACUCUGAGAAUGUAGUGAAACCCUUAACCCCCCAGAAAAAACAUGGUAUUGUUAGUAGUUCGCCAUGCUGGUUUAGUUAUUGACAAUGAGUACUGGAAUUGUUUUUUUAUGCUCAUCGUGCAGUGAGGUUGCAUCUAUCGGGUGUGAAACUACCCUAAUCAAAGUAUUGUUGAAACUGCUCUCUGCAGUCUUCAGAACUUGGAGUGCUGCCUUUGUCGUGUUCCCAUAUUUCUCGUAAAGUAUUACAAGCCUUAUAGCUUGCAUGUGCAAUUGAUUGCAGUUGUCCCUUAUACUGAGCAAGUGUCUUAAUGUGUACAAUCUUCGGUUUUUCUUUUAAGGAAAUGCUAGCUUGAAGGCCUGGCCUCUCUGGGAUUGUAUCGAUAUUGUUCACUGGAAUCGUAAGCAAUAAUGAUAGACAUUUUUUUACAGUGUGUUGCCCUAUCCUGUUGUGCAUUGUUGUAAUUGAGUUGGUUUGUUGUUAGUUUUAGGUAAUGAAGCACCACAAAAUUCUCAAUUUGUCAGACAAUUCUCAGCGAUUUGUUAUCUGUUUUUUUCCAUUGAUAUCAUCACUAGCAGAAAAAACAUUUGUGUAGGGAGCAUUUCAUUAUUUCACCAUUAAGAGUUGUUAAAUUUUGAUUCACUUUUUCUGCCACCCCUCUUAAGGAUGUUGUUUUCCAUUACCAUCUGUCCACCACACAUGAUAGGCAAGUAUAAGAAAUGCAGGACAAAGCCAAGGCCAAUACUAAAACUAAGAUUUUUGUGAAUCAAUUUUGGGCUCACCUGCAAUGGUAUAGGUCCGGCCCUCGCUUGGUGUCGGUCUGCCCUCGUCGAUGCCUCACUUGCCAGUGAAUGUCGUAGGACCAGGCCAUUUCGUCAUCACAUCUAGCUUGCAGCUCCAUAAAGGUCUUGACUGCAUUUCAAUUCAAAAUGCGGCAUUUACGAUUUCAUAGCACGAGGCAUUCGUUUGGAGGACUAGGAGCACAGAUACAGGUAAACCCGAACAGCCACCACUCAAGCAUAGUUGCAUGUUCCGCGGGUUGAAUCAACCAAAAACCGGUCACCGACACAGAAAGUGUAACGACGUCCCAACAUUUAGUAUAAGUAAUCCUUCUCCAACUCAUCUAAAAUGGAAAUAUAGGGAUCAUCCUAUGGUCAAUAGAAUCUAUCCCUACAGGUAGGCAGGAUACGUCGGGACUGGAAAAGCAGCCACCCUCAAGCACGGGAGAGCGUGGAAUCCGUGUCCGCAAUUCGAGGGGACCAUGAGACGAAAAUGUUCCAGUAGAGCAUUAGCGGUUGAAUAUGGAACAACCCUCCCCGCGUAAUGCAAGAGAUUGGUCGAUCGUCUCACUCACCUCUCCUUCCAGGAAGAGAUUUCUGAUAGAUUGUUCUACGUCUUCUUCCUCUUCUUCUAUAGAAAUGGAUUCUUC